rnacentral:rRNA from 1 species
ACAAUGGAGAGUUUGAUCCUGGCUCAGGAUGAACGCUAGCGGCAGGCCUAAUACAUGCAAGUCGAACGGUGUAGUAAUACACAGUGGCGCACGGGUGCGUAACACGUAUGCAACCUACCUAUUAUUGGGGGAUAGCCUUUGGAAACGGAGAUUAAUACCGCAUAAGACAGUGACAUGGCAUCAUGUAGCUGUUAAAGCUUCGGCGAUAAUAGAUGGGCAUGCGUCCAAUUAGUUAGUUGGUGAGGUAACGGCUCACCAAGACGAUGAUUGGUAGGGGAUCUGAGAGGAUAAUCCCCCACACUGGCACUGAGAUACGGGCC